GACAGAGGGUGCGAGCGUUAAUCGGAAUUACUGGGCGUAAAGCGCACGUAGGUGGCCACGUAAGUCCGGUGUGAAAGCCCCGGGCUCAACCUGGGAAUUGCAUUGGAGACUGCAUUGCUGGAGUACGGAAGAGGAGGGCGGAAUUCCCGGUGUAGCGGUGAAAUGCGUAGAUAUCGGGAGGAACAUCAGUGGCGCAGGCGGCCCUCUGGUCCGUUACUGACACUCAGGUGCGAAAGCGUGGGGAGCAAACAGG
rnacentral:rRNA from 1 species